GGACCUACGGGACGCAGCAGUGAGGAAUAUUGGUCAAUGGGCGGGAGCCUGAACCAGCCAUGCCGCGUGCAGGAAGACGGCUCUAUGAGUUGUAAACUGCUUUUGUACGAGGGUAAACGCAGAUACGCGUAUCUGUCUGAAAGUAUCGUACGAAUAAGGAUCGGCUAACUCCGUGCCAGCAGCCGCGGUAAUACGGAGGAUUCAAGCGUUAUCCGGAUUUAUUGGGUUUAAAGGGUGCGUAGUCGGUCGGAUAAGUUAGAGGUGAAAUCCCGAGGCUCACCUUCGGAAUUGCCUCUGAUACUGUU
rnacentral:rRNA from 1 species